GUGAGACAGGUGCUGCAUGGCUGUCGUCAGCUCGUGUUGUGAAAUGUUGGGUUAAGUCCCGCAACGAGCGCAACCCUUAUCCUUUGUUGCCAGCGGUCCGGCCGGGAACUCAAAGGAGACUGCCAGUGAUAAACUGGAGGAAGGUGGGGAUGACGUCAAGUCAUCAUGGCCCUUACGACCAGGGCUACACACGUGCUACAAUGGCG
rnacentral:rRNA from 1 species